GAGACACGGCCCAGACUCCUACGGGAGGCAGCAGUAGGGAAUCUUCGGCAAUGGACGAAAGUCUGACCGAGCAACGCCGCGUGAGUGAAGAAGGUUUUCGGAUCGUAAAACUCUGUUGUUAGAGAAGAACAAGGAUGAGAGUAAAAUGUUCAUCCCUUGACGGUAUCUAACCAGAAAGCCACGGCGAACUACGUGCCAGCAGCCGCGGUAAUACGUAGGUGGCAAGCGUUGUCCGGAUUUAUUGGGCGUAAAGCGAGCGCAGGCGGUUUCUUAAGUCUGAUGUGAAAGCCCCCGGCUCAAGCCGGGGAGGGUCAUUGGAAACUGGGAGACUUGAGUGCAGAAGAGGAGAGUGGAAUUCCAUGUGUAGCGGUGAAAUGCGUAGAUAUAUGGAGGAACACCAGUGGCGAAGGCGGCUCUCUGGUCUGUAACUGACGCUGAGGCU
rnacentral:rRNA from 1 species